CGGCCGCGUCGACCAAGUCUGCUGUCGAAGACCGGGGCUUAACUUCGGAAAGGCAGUGGAAACUGAACAGCUAGAGUAUGGUAGGGGCAGAGGGAAUUCCUGGUGUAGCGGUGAAAUGCGUAGAGAUCAGGAAGAACAUCGGUGGCGAAGGCGCUCUGCUGGACCAUAACUGACACUCAGGGACGAAAGCUAGGGGAGCGAAUGGGAUUGGAUACCCCAGUAGUCCUAGCCGCAAACGAUGGAUACUAGGUGUUGUCUGUAUCGACCCGGACAGUGCCGUAGCUAACGCGUUAAGUAUCCCGCCUGGGGAGUACGCACGCAAGUGUGAAACUCAAAGGAAUUGACGGGGGCGUCGACGCGGCC
rnacentral:rRNA from 1 species